rnacentral:rRNA from 1 species
CCUACGGGGGACAGCAGUGAGGAAUAUUGGUCAAUGGACGAGAGUCUGAACCAGCCAAGUAGCGUGAAGGAUGACUGCCCUAUGGGUUGUAAACUUCUUUUAUAAAGGAAUAAAACGAGGCACGUGUGCCUUUUUGCAUGUACUUUAUGAAUAAGGAUUGGCUAACUCCGUGCCAGCAGCCGCGGUAAUACGGAGGAUCAGAGCGUUAGCCGGAUUUAUUGGGUUUAAAGGGAGCGUAGAUGGGUUGUUAAGUCAGUUGUUAAAGUUUGCGGCUCAACCGUAAAAUUGCAAUUGAUACUGGCAGUCUUGAGUACAGUUGAGGUAGGCGGAAUGCGUGGUGUAGCGGUGAAAUGCUUAGAUAUCACGAAGAACCCCGAUUGCGAAGGCAGCUUACCAAACUGUGACUGACAUUGAUGCUCGAAAGUGUGGGUAUCAAACAGGAUUAGAUACCCCAGUAGUC